rnacentral:rRNA from 2 species
AUUGAACGCUGGCGGCAGGCCUAACACAUGCAAGUCGAGCGGAAACGAGUUAACUGAACCUUCGGGGGACGUUAACGGCGUCGAGCGGCGGACGGGUGAGUAAUGCCUAGGAAAUUGCCCUGAUGUGGGGGAUAACCAUUGGAAACGAUGGCUAAUACCGCAUGAUGCCUACGGGCCAAAGAGGGGGACCUUCGGGCCUCUCGCGUCAGGAUAUGCCUAGGUGGGAUUAGCUAGUUGGUGAGGUAAGGGCUCACCAAGGCGACGAUCCCUAGCUGGUCUGAGAGGAUGAUCAGCCACACUGGAACUGAGACACGGUCCAGACUCCUACGGGAGGCAGCAGUGGGGAAUAUUGCACAAUGGGCGCAAGCCUGAUGCAGCCAUGCCGCGUGUGUGAAGAAGGCCUUCGGGUUGUAAAGCACUUUCAGUCGUGAGGAAGGUAGUGUAGUUAAUAGCUGCAUUAUUUGACGUUAGCGACAGAAGAAGCACCGGCUAACUCCGUGCCAGCAGCCGCGGUAAUACGGAGGGUGCGAGCGUUAAUCGGAAUUACUGGGCGUAAAGCGCAUGCAGGUGGUUUGUUAAGUCAGAUGUGAAAGCCCGGGGCUCAACCUCGGAAUAGCAUUUGAAACUGGCAGACUAGAGUACUGUAGAGGGGGGUAGAAUUUCAGGUGUAGCGGUGAAAUGCGUAGAGAUCUGAAGGAAUACCGGUGGCGAAGGCGGCCCCCUGGACAGAUACUGACACUCAGAUGCGAAAGCGUGGGGAGCAAACAGGAUUAGAUACCCUGGUAGUCCACGCCGUAAACGAUGUCUACUUGGAGGUUGUGGCCUUGAGCCGUGGCUUUCGGAGCUAACGCGUUAAGUAGACCGCCUGGGGAGUACGGUCGCAAGAUUAAAACUCAAAUGAAUUGACGGGGGCCCGCACAAGCGGUGGAGCAUGUGGUUUAAUUCGAUGCAACGCGAAGAACCUUACCUACUCUUGACAUCCAGAGAACUUUCCAGAGAUGGAUUGGUGCCUUCGGGAACUCUGAGACAGGUGCUGCAUGGCUGUCGUCAGCUCGUGUUGUGAAAUGUUGGGUUAAGUCCCGCAACGAGCGCAACCCUUAUCCUUGUUUGCCAGCGAGUAAUGUCGGGAACUCCAGGGAGACUGCCGGUGAUAAACCGGAGGAAGGUGGGGACGACGUCAAGUCAUCAUGGCCCUUACGAGUAGGGCUACACACGUGCUACAAUGGCGCAUACAGAGGGCGGCCAACUUGCGAAAGUGAGCGAAUCCCAAAAAGUGCGUCGUAGUCCGGAUUGGAGUCUGCAACUCGACUCCAUGAAGUCGGAAUCGCUAGUAAUCGUGGAUCAGAAUGCCACGGUGAAUACGUUCCCGGGCCUUGUACACACCGCCCGUCACACCAUGGGAGUGGGCUGCAAAAGAAGUAGGUAGUUUAACCUUCGGGGGGACGCUUACCACUUUGUGGUUCAUGACUGG